rnacentral:rRNA from 1 species
AUUGAACGCUGGCGGCAGGCCUAACACAUGCAAGUAGAACGAGUGGCGGACGGGUGAGUAAUGUCUGGGAAACUGCCUGAUGGAGGGGGAUAACUACUGGAACCGGUAGUUAAUACCGCAUACCAUCGGUUGUGCACAGAUGGGCUUUGCUUGUAGGUGGGGUAAAGGCUCACCUUGGCGACGAUCCCUAUCUGGUCUGAGAGGAUGACGAGCCACACUGGAACUGAGACACGGCCCAGACUCCUACGGAAGGCGGCGGUGGGGAAUAUUGCACAAUGGGCGCAAGCCGGAUGCAGCCAUGCCGCGUGUAUGAAGAAGGCCUUCGGGUUGUAAAGUACUUUCAGCGGGGAGGCGGUACCCGCAGAGGAAGCACCGGCUAACUCCGUGCCAGCAGCCGCGGUAAUUC